rnacentral:ribozyme from 13 species
GGAAGAAGAAGAGAGAAGAGAACAAAGAGAGGUAUGAAGAAUAUCAAAAGGAACAGAGGAUAAUGGUUGGAAAGUGUCUUCUGUUUCUUUUUUCGUGUAUGAAUCUGUCAAAUGAGGCAAGAGGCGACGAUAACCGUUUCCUCCACUCAUCCAUUCGGAAACAAAUGGGAAAGGAAGAGAGGGAGUCUUGAAAGACAAUAAUAGCAACAUUAAAUUUACUUCUAAUUCUUGGAUUAU